AGCUUUGCGCAGUGGCAGUAUCGUAGCCAAUGAGGUUUAUCCGAGGCGCGAUUAUUGCUAAUUGAAGUUCUGUAUCUAUUUUUCAAC
rnacentral:snRNA from 1 species